ensembl:lncRNA
GCACAUAGCAGGGGGGUUGGAACUAGAUGAUUAUUGUGGUCCUUUUCUACCCCAGACAUUCUAUGAUUCUAUGAUUCUCUUUCCUUAGAGGGUACUUCCUUAUACCCUCAUCACUUUUCCUUUUUGGAUCUGUCUGGGAAUUCACGCCAUUUAUGCACAAUGCAUCCUUGCUUCAUUUUGGGGAAAGAGGAUGCAUUUCUCCUUGCCAGCACCGGAAUCUUUAUUUUCUAUAUUUAGCCUUCUAGGGAAAAGUAUUUAUACUAUCUACAUCACUUUCCUGCCAGUAGCUUGUUUUUCUGCACAUGUUUAUUAGACAUACAGAUACACCUGGCUGGUUGGAUCCCCUUCAUGUCACUUCUGCAUGCCGGCAAUGCUUCUGUGCAUUAUCAGAGCUGUUCAGUGACAGCAACAUGGAUCCAGGAGGAUACUCCAUUCCCUGCACUUGUCCCAUAGUAGACUUGGUCAAAUCAACCAAUAUGGGGGUAACAGCGCAGUGACUGGACCCAACCUGCAGGCUGUGGGACUCUAGUUGGACUAGAUGACCUUUAAGGGUCCCUUCCAACUCAAACAAGUCUAGACAAACAAGAUUCUGUGAAAAUAAUAGCAUGGUUUUGCUGAGUAUCAAAGCACAUUUCACUCUAUGUAUAGUCCUAUUAAAAAUCUAAGGUUUAUAUGAUAUAUAUUUAUGCUUAGUCCUAUUAUUAUCCCAUAGGGCUUCUUAGAGAUCCGUUUUGUUAACUUAAUGACUAUAGAGCUGGAUCUGCUCAUACAUGAAGUCAGUGCCAAAUGUCCAUUAAACCAGUUCCUAAUUAAAUUAUUUUCUGAAGUUUUUGAUCCCAUUCUUAAAAACAUUAUCUGAAUUUUGUGGGAGAUGAUCAUAUCUAAGGCUGAAUAUUGUUGUUUAGCACCAACACUUAGUUUUACUGAUUAACUGAUACUGAUACAGAUUUACUGAUUAACAUCAUAUGGAAAAAACACACACACACACACACACACAAGUUAAAUGCUUGUUAUUUCUUCAGAGGCUUUUGUUAUCCUGCUUGCUUCCUACAGGCACUACUGGCUGCCUCACACUCAUCACCACACCACACAUUUGCUGGAAAGAACAGGAGUUUUCAAUGAUGAGCUUUGCUUUCCUUUCUUUCAGAAAGGCCUAAUCCAUACAACGUGCAUGACUGAGAAUACAACUGUUCAGUUUAUUUAAGGAUAAGCUCAGGCCUUAACUUCAGCUAGAAAUAUGUAAAGCUGCUUGGUUUUGCUGAGUCCAAGUCUUAGUUACCUAGUGCACACUUUGCUCCUUCACUUAUCUAAGUCAUCCUAUCCCUUAACAACUGAUCAAAACCUGCAUGCAAUAAAAUAAUUUGCAUUGCUUAAAAUAGAAUGUUAGAGGUAAUUAAGAGUAACAGAGACGUGUUAUCUCCUACAGCAGCACGUGAGGCCUCAGCCACGCUGAGGCUGUGUGAAGCACAGAGUGCAGACGUGGGCCCCGUGCAUGGCUGGUUGGUGGCCACAAGACAGGCCAGGCUGCGUCUGCAUGGUAUGCCAUAAAGGGUACAGAUCUCAAGAUGCUGACAGCAACUUCUGCCAAGGAGUGGCUUUAUGUGUUAACACCCCCUUGUUAUCAGCAGUAGAUAGGGAACAACAAGCCAUUUUCUCUCCAAAGGGAAUAAAAAUCCCUACAACCUGUAAGAUAUGGCCACACAGCCUCACAAAUCUGGGGGUUGAAUUACUUGAUGUCAGGAUCAGAAACUCCUAUAUACUCCCCUCAUUGACGUCCAGAGCACAGAGACUGAUAUUCCAAUGCUUUCUAUCAAAUAAAAUCAGACCCUGCUUUGGUUAAUGCACUGGAUAUUUAAAACUUAUUAUUCUUGAUCUGCAUUUGUGUGUUACAAGAGAAGUAGCCAACUCCAGAUGACAGGACAGAUGGAGUUUUACAGCGCAUAAAAAAAUGGGUUCUCAAUAAUAAGUCAUAUGUUACACUUGCACAUUCUUCUACACAAUUAAGAUAUUUCCUU